rnacentral:rRNA from 1 species
GACGAACGCUGGCGGCGUGCCUAACACAUGCAAGUCGAACGGGAUCCAUGGAGUGCUUGCACUCCGGAAGAUCUAGUGGCGAACGGGUGAGUAACACGUGAGAAACCUGCCCCAGACUCUGGGAUAACCUCGGGAAACCGAAGCUAAUACCGGAUAUUCUCCUUUGGUCGCAUGGCCAGUUGAGGAAAGUUUUUUCGGUCUGGGAGGGUCUCGCGGCCUAUCAGCUAGUUGGUGGGGUAACGGCCCACCAAGGCUACGACGGGUAGCUGGUUUGAGAGAACGAUCAGCCACACUGGAACUGAGACACGGUCCAGACUCCUACGGGAGGCAGCAGUGGGGAAUCUUGCGCAAUGGGCGAAAGCCUGACGCAGCAACGCCGCGUGCGGGAUGAAGGCCUUCGGGUUGUAAACCGCUUUCAGCAGGGACGAAAUGACGGUACCUGCAGAGAAGCCCGGCGUAACUACGUGCCAGCAGCCGCGGUAAACACGACGAGUA